CCUACGGGUGGCACCAGUAGGGAAUCUUCGGCAAUGGACGAAAGUCUGACCGAGCAACGCCGCGUGAGUGAAGAAGGUUUUCGGAUCGUAAAACUCUGUUGUUAGAGAAGAACAAGGACGUUAGUAACUGAACGUCCCCUGACGGUAUCUAACCAGAAAGCCACGGCUAACUACGUGCCAGCAGCCGCGGUAAUACGUAGGUGGCAAGCGUUGUCCGGAUUUAUUGGGCGUAAAGCGAGCGCAGGCGGUUACUUAAGUCUGAUGUGAAAGCCACCGGCUCAACCGGGGAGGGUCAUUGGAAACUGGGAGACUUGAGUGCAGAAGAGGAGAGUGGAAUUCCUUGUGUAGCGGUGAAAUGCGUAGAUAUAUGGAGGAACACCAGUGGCGAAGGCGGCUCUCUGGUCUGUACCUGACGCUGAGGCUCGAAAGCGUGGGGAGCAAACAGGAUUAGAUACCCCGGUAGUC
rnacentral:rRNA from 1 species